AUUGAACGCUGGCGGCAUGCCUUACACAUGCAAGUCGAACGGUAACAGGUCUUCGGAUGCUGCCGAGUGGCGAACGGGUGCGUAAUACAUCGGAACGUGCCCAGACGUGGGGGAUAACGAGGCGAAAGCUUUGCUAAUACCGCAUACGAUCUAAGGAUGAAAGCAGGGGACCGCAAGGCCUUGCGCGUUUGGAGCGGCCGAUGGCAGAUUAGGUAGUUGGUGGGAUAAAAGCUUACCAAGCCGACGAUCUGUAGCUGGUCUGAGAGGACGACCAGCCACACUGGGACUGAGACACGGCCCAGACUCCUACGGGAGGCAGCAGUGGGGAAUUUUGGACAAUGGGCGAAAGCCUGAUCCAGCAAUGCCGCGUGCAGGAUGAAGGCCUUCGGGUUGUAAACUGCUUUUGUACGGAACGAAAAGGCUCUGGCUAAUACCUGGGGCACAUGACGGUACCGUAAGAAUAAGCACCGGCUAACUACGUG
rnacentral:rRNA from 1 species